rnacentral:rRNA from 1 species
AUGCCCGCCGGCGUGCUGGCCGCAGUGCGCUGGUCCACCGCCUGCUCGGCGCUGCUCAACGCCGCCGCCGCGUCCACCGGCGCGGCCGUCGCGGGCCUCGCGCUCCGGGACCGCUGCGGGGGCGCGCUCGGCCCCGCAGCCGCCGCCGCGUCCGCGGCCUCCGCGGCGAGGCUCCUCGCGUCCGCCGUGGCCGGGUUCGCGCAGGGCCUGGCGGCCAGCGCCAUCGCCGCCGGCGCCAUCGGGGCGCACGUCGACAGCGACCGCGACCUCCGCCAUCUCUCGCGGCUACGAUACAAUAGAUGGCUUUGGUGGGCAAGGUUUGGGAUGGUGAUUACAGUGCUCCAAUUUGUGCUGGCACUUUAUUUGAUGUGUAUUAUUGUAAAGGAUUUCUCAUCUGGGAAGUCAUUGAAGGAGUGUUUUUCAGGACACGACAAGGACGUCAAUGACUGGAAGAACAUCUUGUUAAUGAUUUUUCUUGUUGUCAUGUGGGUGGGAACAAUAGUCCAAUGUGCCACAGGUUCCGAUGUAUUAAGAUGGAGGUCCUUUUAUGCAACCCAUGAUAUUGCAUGGAGGGCUCACUACAGGGAGGUGUUUGAUCAUGGCAUUCGUGAGGUUUUAUGUUGUCUAGGACGGGCGAAGUACUCGAGUGUACUGGAAGAUGACGAUAUAUGUGUUGUGGCAAAACUGUUGGGAGAUAUUAUGGCUUAUCGUGCAUCUGGAACUGGUCACCUUGAGCUCAUAGCAGGGUUUUCAUUGUUGCAGAAAUCCAAGAUGUCAACAGUUCUUUCAAGAGAGCAAGUGGAAGCUCCUCCUGAUCUCAUCCAAGAGGCUAUUCUGUUUCAUCCAUUUGCUGAAGCUGCCUAUACAGGUCCGCUACUUGAUUUUGGGAGGAAUCCUCUUAUGUUUCCCUGUGUUUGGCUCAAUAGGCAAGGUAUUUUAACUCCAUGGACUCGUGCUAGACGACCAAUCCUUGAAGGAGAUAAUUGGUGGAGAGGGCAUGCAGCGGCUUUCCUAAAGUAUGUCAAUGUGCCCCCAGAAGUACUUCGGAAAGGGCGUGUUAGCCAGACAAAACGUGAGGCUGCCUACUUUGUUAUUGUCUUACAUAACUUGAGAACAGUAGUCAUUGCCAUUCGUGGAACUGAGACUCCAGAAGAUGUUAUAACUGAUGGCUUGUGUAGGGAAUGCUCUCUUACCAUGGAUGACUUGGAUGGGCUGAUCAAUUCUGAUCAGUUGCCCCCUCAAGUGAAGGAGACUGUCCUCUCGUCUUUUCCACACUAUGGGCAUGCAGGAAUUAUUGAAUCGGCUCGAGAAUUGUACACAAAGCUUGAAGGGCAGUCCAUUCAUCAAGAUAAGUCAGAGCUGAUGACAGCUGGGUUCUUAUCUUCGCUGCUCGGAGCUGGAUGUGAGUGUGAUGGAUACAAUAUUGAAAUUGUUGGACAUUCUUUAGGAGGUGCUGUAGCUGCACUUCUUGGUAUUAGGCUAUAUAAACAGUUUCCAAAAUUACAUGUCUUUACUUAUGGAGCUGCACCCUGUGUGGAUUUCGUGAUAGCAGAUGCAUGCUCACAGUUUGUUACCAGCAUUGUCCACAACGAUGAAUUUUCCUCAAGAUUAUCCAUGAAUUCGGUAAUUCGAUUACGUGGUGCUGCUAUCAAAGCUUUAUCAAAGGAUACUUCGCCAAAUUCUACUAAAGUUGGCAAACUAGUGGGUGGCUUCACGAGCAACAAAAGGCAUGAUGAACAACACGCUGUGGUUCGAUGUGCUUCUUCUGGUGCUCUUCAGACAGUCAGCGAUGCAAAGCAAAGUAAUGAUCAAAUCCAUGGAAAGAGUGUAAUGCAUACAGUUAGAGGUGGUGUGUUCCUCUUUGGUCAAGCGAUAUCUUGCUUGGUAAAUACUCCAAAACAUAGAAUUAGCUCCACUGCGGUAAUUAACUAUGAGUUGGGACGAUCUAGAACAACAUUAACCUAUAAUGGUGAAAAUUUGACUGUUGCUUCCCGUGGUGUUCUGGAUGGUGCACCUUCUGAAGAACCUAGUGAUGCAUACAGACAUGACAAGUUUCCAGAAGCUGGCUUGGAUGAAUCCGGAAGUAGUUUCAGGUUACCUCAUUCAAAUAAUGGUGCUGAGCUCUCAUCUGCCCCGGAUCACACGUGUACAAUAAGUUUAUCUGAAGGGCAGUCGCCAGAUGUGUACCUCCCUGGCCUCAUUAUUCAUAUCGUUCCCAUAAAGAAUGGUACUUCUCCAUUGCGGAAGACACUUGUGACUCGUCACAAGAACAAGAGUUAUAAAGCAUUUAUAGCGAAUCGGCAGGAUUUUAUGGACCUUGUUGUGACCCCUCGCAUGUUCCUUGAUCAUCUCCCGUGGAGGUGUCACUAUGCCAUGCAAAGGGUUAUAGAAACACGGAAACGGAACCAGCCCAUUCACUAUUCAUCCACCGGAGAGGAUUCUGUCUAA